rnacentral:lncRNA from 1 species
UGGGGAUCUGGGCAGCUGUACUGGUCAUGGGCCAUCUCUUGAAUAAGGGAGACACUGCACUGUGAAGGCCAGAGGGGUCCAUGCAGUAACUAACAGUCCUGACACGGCAAGGCAGGACGCCUGUGACAUCAGCAAGUGUUCAGAACGUAUCGCUGCUAUUGCUUUAUUUGCUAGUUUAAAGAAAUCUGAUUAGAAAUUAAUCUUUCAAUAAAACUGAUGUGUACAAAUUAAUCUUUUUGAAAAAAGAAAAAGAAAAUUUGCUUAGUAUAUAGUUCUGCAUUGUAUAGAAAAUAUCUGCUUUAAAAAGACAUUUAACAAAAGCUGUAACUGAAGCGGGGAGAUGAGUUACUGGUACCUGACAGACACCGCCCACUUGGAGAAGUCAAACCGUUGCAUCUGACUCACAUACGGGCAGCUCAUAAGGGGAAGCAGACCGUUCUGAAGGAAGCACCUUUUGCCUGGUUUCCCAUACACGUCUCAGACGUGAACUACAGCACUGCCUUGGCCCCAGGCUUACUUCAGAAAGCGUGGACAUCGCCUGGGGAGGGAACCUGCCCUGAGUGUGUGCUGAUGGAGCAGGCUCCGUUGAGCCCAGCACUGCAUGUGCCUUUCCAUGCCAGAGACAGGCCAGGCAAGACCAUGCUUUCUAAUGCUUCUUCCUGUGAUCCUGAGAAAACUGGCCUUAAACUUAAUAAAGACCCAGGGGCUGGAGAGGUGGCUCAGUGCUUUGGGGUACUUGUUGCGCUUUCUCAGGACAUGGGUUCUAUGCCUGCCAUCCAAGCAGUGGCUCACAGCCAUCAUUACUCCAGUUCCAGGGCGUCUAACACCCACUUCAGCUUCUGCCAGCCCUGAGUACAUGGGUGGUGCACAGACAUACAGCCAGGGAAAAUACCCAGGCAUAUAAGAUAAGCCAAAGCAUCCUUUGAAUUUAAUAAAGAUUUGACAAUAUUCAUCUAUUGUCUUAUAAUAUCUGGUAAAAAAAAAGAAUAUUUAUUAGUAACUUUUAAGGCUUCAUGCCUUACUCAUUACACAUAAGUCCUUGAAGAUUGGCCAAAUCUGAGCACGUUUUUUAAUUGUACUGUUUUUUCCUUACAGUUAAAAUGGCUUAAGGUUUAUCAUUUAUAUACACAUAUACAUACACAACGGAAUGUAUAUCAUAUCAGCAAUUAGUAAAAUAGCACUAUCAACCUUCUGAGGGAGAGCCCUCGGUGUUUGGUCACUUGUCUGUCCUUUUUGAAUCACAGAUAGGGAGCUAGGAAAGCUACAGGAUUUGAAAACCAUAAAGUCAGACGCAGCUCAGACUGUAACUGGACAUUGCCCUGACAUUCUAACAUCCACACAUUCAUUAAGCACGGGGAAGGUAAGAACGUUCACAUGGCGAGGGCAGCGUGCAGUGCCCAUGUGCUGGAGCUCUCAGAGAAAUGUGUACCUAGAGUAGUCUCAGAAGUGUGCAUACAGCGCUGAACUCUAAACCUGAAGUCUAAGGUGUCUGCAGGAGAGGAUGCAGCUGGGUUAGCAAAUACUCAAGAUUUUUCUUAAGUCUUUCAGGAAACAAAGACUGUGGAAAGAUUUGAUAAGUUAUUUUAAGUAAA